UGGGGAAUAUUGGACAAUGGGCGCAAGCCUGAUCCAGCCAUGCCGCGUGAGUGACGAAGGUCUUCGGAUUGUAAAGCUCUUUUGGCGGGGACGAUAAUGACGGUACCCGCAGAAUAAGCCCCGGCUAACUUCGUGCCAGCAGCCGCGGUAAUACGAAGGGGGCUAGCGUUGUUCGGAAUCACUGGGCGUAAAGCGCACGUAGGCGGAUUUGUCAGUCAGGGGUGAAAUCCCGGGGCUCAACCUCGGAACUGCCCUUGAUACAGCAAAUCUCGAGCUCGGAAGAGGUGAGUGGAAUUCCUAGUGUAGAGGUGAAAUUCGUAGAUAUUAGGAAGAACACCAGUGGCGAAGGCGGCUCACUGGUCCGUAGCUGACGCUGAGGUGCGAAAGCGUGGGGAGCAAACAG
rnacentral:rRNA from 1 species